rnacentral:rRNA from 1 species
UACAGAGGGGGCAAGCGUUGUUCGGAUUUACUGGGCGUAAAGGGCGCGUAGGCGGCCACCGCAAGUCAGUUGUGAAAUCUCUGGGCUUAACCCAGAACGGUCAGCUGAUACUGCGGGGCUAGAGUGCAGAAGGGGCAACUGGAAUUCUCGGUGUAGCGGUGAAAUGCGUAGAUAUCGAGAGGAACACCAGUGGCGAAGGCGAGUCCCUGGACAACACCUGACACUGAGGCACGAAAGCUAGGGGAGCAAACAGG